AAGUUAAGAGUCACUGUUAUGAGCUUCCAAUGGCCUUGAGAAAUGCUUCUUUGAUGGAGGUGAUGAUGGCAGACUUGGCAGGGAGCUGGGAGGUCAUGUUCAGACCUUCAGAAACAGACUGGAACUGAGGCCACAGACGGCACAGGUACCGGUGUCCUUGAUUUCCCAGCUUCAAAGUGAACUGCCUCUGAAGUAGGGGACAUUCACACCUGCUCUGCUGCCGUUGAUUUCUGCCUUCCUGGCUGCAGACUCAACAAGACAACAAUACGUCUGUUGACGUUUUCAAGGCCAUAUUCAUAAACCAAGCAUGGGAAGCUUCUCUUCCACCCUUUCUAAAUGAAAAUGAAAAGGGACCAGGAAAGUGAAGCCUAGGCGGAGGGAAGGGGCUACAUGCAAGAUGUAUCUGGGCACAGCUCUGACUCGAGCAGCCCUUCAGGCUCUUGCCCUCUGUCCAGUGUGUGCAGAGCGUCUAGCAGCAUCUUCCCAAGGCAUUCUCUGGAAGGUCACUCCUCCUCCUGCUCAGCGGGCCUCCCUUCGCUCCCCCUGGAUCAUUAUCAGCCCAGCGCUGGCGAGAUCAGCAGGCUUUUCAAUGGAGCAUCACACCACG